rnacentral:rRNA from 1 species
CCUACGGGUGGCUGCAGUGGGGAAUAUUGGACAAUGGGGGGAACCCUGAUCCAGCCGUGCCGCGUGUGUGAAGAAGGCCCUCGGGUUGUAAAGCACUUUCAGUGAGGAAGAACGCCUGGUGGUUAAUACCCAUCAGGAAAGACAUCACUCACAGAAGAAGCACCGGCUAACUCCGUGUCAGCAGCCGCGGUAAUACGGAGGGUGCGAGCGUUAAUCGGAAUUACUGGGCGUAAAGCGCGCGUAGGUGGCUUGAUAAGCCGGUUGUGAAAGCCCCGGGCUCAACCUGGGAACGGCAUCCGGAACUGUCAAGCUAGAGUGCAGGAGAGGAAGGUAGAAUUCCCGGUGUAGCGGUGAAAUGCGUAGAGAUCGGGAGGAAUACCAGUGGCGAAGGCGGCCUUCUGGACUGACACUGACACUGAGGUGCGAAAGCGUGGGUAGCAAACAGGAUUAGAUACCCCAGUAGUC